rnacentral:rRNA from 1 species
ACGGAAGGCAGCAGUGGGGAAUAUUGCACAAUGGGGGAAACCCUGAUGCAGCGACGCCGCGUGAGUGAAGAAGUAUUUCGGUAUGUAAAGCUCUAUCAGCAGGGAAGAAAAUGACGGUACUUGACUAAGAAGCCCCGGCUAACUACGUGCCAGCAGCCGCGGUAAUACGUAGGGGGCAAGCGUUAUCCGGAUUUACUGGGUGUAAAGGGCGUGUAGGCGGAGAAGCAAGUCAGAAGUGAAAUCCCGGGGCUCAACCCCGGAACUGCUUUUGAAACUGUUUCCCUUGAGUAUCGGAGAGGCAGGCGGAAUUCCUAGUGUAGCGGUGAAAUGCGUAGAUAUUAGGAAGAACACCGGUGGCGAAGGCGGCCUGCUGGACGACAACUGACGCUGAGGCGCGAAAGCGUGGGGAGCAAACAGGAUUAGAUACCCUGGUA